GGACAGCCAUCACCUUCUUUCCAUCUACAUUUAUUUUCACAUUCACAACCACAUUCAAGCUGAGAUGGACUGCCCUGGUAAGGGCAACUGGUGGAAGCUGGAGACAAGAUGGAUAUAUGCUAGAGCUGGCUCAGAGGAGCCAGUGUACUCACUGGAGCAGCAAUCGUGGAAGCCUGAAUCAGAUUACUGGAGCUGGAGAAACAACGACACUGGCAGAAAACAGACAGAAAAGCAGCAAACCCACCCCAUGCUGCUGCCCAGACCCCAGCAGGGACACGAGUGAAGCCCACCUGGAUGCUGCCACUUCUGUUGUCCACACACUCCUGGAGCUCUAGCCCUGCCACCUGUGGGCCUACCUGGCCAGCCAGGACUGGUGUCUAGAGUCAUUCCAGAUGACCCAGGACACCUUCUAGGAGCUCCUCAAGCACCUCUGCCCCUACUUGGAGCAUCUGGCCAGCACCAUGUGGCUGCCCCUCCCCACAGACCCCACAGGUGACCACCUCCCUGUUCAAGCUGGCCACUCCCACCAGCCUACACUUGGUUGACUACCUCUUUGGCAUGGGCAAGGUGGCCAAGGAGGCCAUCAUGAAAGUGUGUGGCACCCUCCAGGACAUGCUGGGGAACACCCUGUUCCAGAUUCAUGACCCUGGUGGUGAUGGCAGUGUUCCAUGCCUUGGGCUUCCCACAGUUCAUCAGGACCCUGGACAGGAAUCACAUCUCCAUUACCUGCCCACCCUAUGUUGACCACCCCACUACAGCUGGCAGGGCUUCCUCUCCAUCAUGCUACAGGCCAUUGUAAACCACUGCAAUGCUUUCACCAAUGUGAGUACCAGCUGGCCAGGCAGUGCCCAUGAUGCCAACAUCUUCUGAAACUCCACUCUGCCAGUGCUGGUAGAGAGCAGGCACUUCACACCAAGGUUGCCAGACCUCAAGCUGGACACAGUGGUCAUCUCACCCCUCCUCACUGUGGACCCAACCUACCCACUCCUGCCCUGCCUCAUGCAGCCCUAC